CCACCGCGUGGUCACGCGGUCCGUGUCCAUCCCGGCUCAACUCCCCAACGCGCUAUUUCCUUCCCUCCCCGCACGCACCCAAACCCAGCAAGCCCACCGAUCCGGCCCGGUCGCCGGCGAUGGAAUCGGCGGGGAACGACCGGAGGGACGCGGCGCUGGGGAGCCUGGCGGUGCUCCCCGACGAGCUGCUCUGCGCCAUCGUCGACCUCCUCCAGCCCACCGACAUCGGCCGCCUCGCAUGCGUCAGCAGUGUCAUGUACAUACUUUGCAACGAGGAACCUCUCUGGAUGAGUAAAUAUCUUUCUGUUGGUGGUCAUCUUGAGUACAAAGGUUCUUGGAAGAAAACAACAUUGUCUAGGCUUAGUCUUUGCUCCGGAAAUAGUGAGCUUGAGCAGAAGGCUCGUCAUUUUGAUGGAUUCAAUUCCUUGUUCUUAUACAGGAGAUGGUAUAGAUGUUUUACUACUUUGAGUAGUUAUUCCUUUGACAAUGGACAUGUGGAAAGAAAGGAUGACCUUUCUUUGGAUCAUUUCCAUUCUCAGUAUGAUGGAAAAGGCCCAGUUUUGCUUGGUAAGCUGGCUGAAACCUGGCCAGCAAGGACUAAAUGGACAAUUCAGCAGCUGGUGCAUGAUUAUGGUGAAGUUACAUUUAGGAUAUCACAGAGAAGCCCUAAGAAGAUAAUAAUGAAACUGAAAGACUAUGUUUCUUACAUGGAACUCCAGCAUGACGAAGAUCCUCUUUAUAUAUUUGAUGAUAAGUUUGGAGAAACAACACCAGCACUAUUGGAAGAUUACAGAGUCCCUCAUUUAUUUCAAGAAGAUCUUUUUGGUGUCUUGGAUUAUGAACAAAGACCUGCUUUCAGAUGGCUUAUUAUUGGACCAGAAAGAUCAGGUGCCUCUUGGCAUGUUGAUCCAGGAUUAACCAGUGCGUGGAAUACUCUUCUUUGUGGCCGAAAAAGAUGGGCACUGUACCCUCCAGGAAGAGUGCCUGGUGGUGUCACGGUACAUGUAAGUGAUGAGGAUGGUGAUGUUGACAUUGAAACUCCAACGUCUUUGCAGUGGUGGCUUGAUAUCUAUCCUCAUCUUGCUGAACACGAGAAACCACUGGAAUGCACACAAUUACCAGGAGAGACUAUAUUUGUUCCUAGUGGAUGGUGGCAUUGUGUUCUAAACCUUGAGACUACUGUUGCAGUUACACAAAACUUUGUCAAUCAAUCAAAUUUUGAGCAUGUAUGUCUAGACAUGGCACCUGGUCACUGUCACAAAGGAGUUUGUCGUGCUGGCUUACUUGCUGUUCCGGGAAAAUCUGUUAGAGAUAUUGAAAAUCAUCCACCUGGAACAAUGAGUGCAUGGAACCACAAUGACAUGACUCGUGCAGAAAAAAGACUGAAAGGUUCAGGGUCCGUAAGAGCUUCAAACAGUGCAAAUCAGUGUGCUUCGUUUGAGUUCUCAGACGUCCAUGAAAGUUUGGAGAACCAAGUUUUCUCGUAUGAUAUAGGUUUCUUAUCCCAAUUUCUUGAGAAAGAAAAAGAUCACUAUACUUCUGUCUGGAGUCCUACUAAUCCAAUUGGCCAGAGAGAAGCAAGAGAAUGGCUGCGAAGGCUAUGGGUUCUUAAGCCUGAACUGAGAGGACUAAUAUGGAAGGGUGCAUGCCUAGCAAUAAGUGUGGACAAAUGGUAUGCAUGCUUAGAGGAAGUAAGUGCAUGUCAUAGUUUACCACCACCGUCAGAGGAUGAGAAGCUUCCUGUUGGCACAGGUAGCAACCCAGUCUUCAUUGUUUCCGACAAUGUGAUUAAAAUCUAUGCUGAAGGAGGCCUGGGUUAUUCUGCUCAUGGUUUAGGCACAGAGCUUGAGUUCUAUGAUCUUCUGCGAAAAGUUGGCUCGCCUUUGAUCAACCACAUUCCUGAGAUCAUUGCAAGUGGAUUUCUUGUGUACGAAGAUGGCGUCUACAGAACAGUCCCAUGGGAUGGAAAAGGAAUGCCAGAUGUUUUGGCUAAAUACUAUCCUCUGGAGCUUUCUUAUGCAAACAGCUGUUUUCCUCUUGGAUUAUGGAGCAAACAACAGUUUGGAAUGGAUAGUUCCACUGAAUGUUCAAACAAACCUAUUUGGCCUUACAUGGUUACCAGAAAAUGCAAAGGGGAUAUCUUUGCUCGUGUCCGUGAUACAUUGUCCAAGGCUGACCUUUUGAAUCUGGCAUCAUCCUUGGGAGUUCAAAUGCGAAAUAUCCAUUUAUUACCCCUUCCACAUGGGGAACCAUUACCCAAACCUGAAGACAAUAAUGUGAGAGACAGUGAUCCACCUGAAUGGAAACAAGUAAUUUCUACUCUAAACGGAAGAAAGAAUAAUAUAAAGAAGCACCUAGCUAACUGGGGGGGUACUGUCCCAACAGUUUUAAUUGAGAAGGCUGAAGAAUAUCUCCCUGCUGAUAUGAGCUCUCUAAUCAAGUUUGUUAAGGAUGACGAUGGUGACUCAGUGUACACAUUCCCUUGUUGGAUACAUUCAGAUAUUAUGGACGAUAACAUUCUUACUCAGAGGUCCCUCACUGAUGCCAAAAGCACUGGUGACAGAGAUCUGGAGAAACUGGAUGCAGUUAAUAUAAUUGACUUCAGUGAUCUGUCCAUCGGGGAUCCUCUAUGCGACUUGAUUCCACUGCACCUGGAUGUUUUUCGUGGCGAUAUUGAUCUUCUCAGGGAGUACCUAAGAAGCUACCAGCUUCCUUUCCUGAGAGGGAAAUCAAACAAUGAUAUCUACAAGUCAGUGGGAAAUUCGAAGUUCAGCACUGCAUCAUAUCGCGCGAUGUGCUACUGCAUGCUGCACGAGGACAACGUGCUGGCGGCUAUAUUUGGGCUGUGGAAGGACCUGCGAGCUGCAACGUCGUGGGAGGAGGUCGAGCACUUGGUUUGGGAUGGCCUCAACCGAUACCAGCAAUCGUCGCCUACACUCUCUAGCUAGCAGACUCGUCACGACUAGCGCUCAGAAGAAAUAAUGCGUACUGCUCCGUUACUCCCUUCGACAUAUAGCCCGGCUUCGUUUGUUUAAGAGCAAAGAAACUAUAAGGGGCAAAAAAAAUUGUUUACUCUUGUGUGUAGCAGUUUGAACAGUAAAAUCGAGAAACAUUUUAAAAAUGUUCAAAAAAUUCUGAUUUUUUUUUGUGGUAAACUUUGACAAAUGUUCUAACUGCUUGUAAAAUUUCAUCUUCAGAUCACAUUCGUGGAAGGCGUGACAAAAAAAAAACAAAAUCGAUGCUUUGAAAAUGCUACUUUCAAAGCAUUUUGGAGCAUUGAUUUUGUUUUUUUUGCUACGCCUUGUACGAAUAUGAUCUGAAGAUGAAAUUUUGCAAGCAGUUAGAAUAUUUGUCAAAGUUUAGCACAAAAAAAAUUCAGAAUUGUUUGAACAAUUUAAAAAUAUUUUUUAAAUUUUACUGUUCACCCGAUCUCAUUUGAGCUUGGGCUCAGAAAAGACUUUCCGCUUUUUUCUUCUUUCAUUUUCUUUUCUUUUGGGAGAGAGCAGUUUUGCCGUUAAAUGGAUCAUGAAGCGUGCAGUUGUACCGCAUAGUAGUGUGACACGUUGGGUAUUUGUAACGAAUGCCACAUUUUUUGUACGCACCCAACACACGGCAUAACUUGUUUCCAUGAACUUUUUAUCUCCCAAGAGUCACAUGGAAACAUGUUUAUUAUUUGUUGAACCAUCCUCA